rnacentral:rRNA from 1 species
AUUGAACGCUGGCGGCAGGCCUAACACAUGCAAGUCGAGCGGAUGAAGGGAGCUUGCUCCUGGAUUCAGCGGCGGACGGGUGAGUAAUGCCUAGGAAUCUGCCUGGUAGUGGGGGAUAACGUCAGGAAACGGGCGCUAAUACCGCAUCCGUCCUGAGGGAGAAAGUGGGGGAUCUUCGGACCUCACGCUAUCAGAUGAGCCUAGGUCGGAUUAGCUAGUUGGUGGGGUAAAGGCCUACCAAGGCGACGAUCCGUAACUGGUCUGAGAGGAUGAUCAGUCACACUGGAACUGAGACACGGUCCAGACUCCUACGGGAGGCAGCAGUGGGGAAUAUUGGACAAUGGGCGAAAGCCUGAUCCAGCCAUGCCGCGUGUGUGAAGAAGGUCUUCGGAUUGUAAAGCACUUUAAGUUGGGAGGAAGGGCAGUAAGUUAAUACCUUGCUGUUUUGACGUUACCAACAGAAUAAGCACCGGCUAACUUCGUG